UGCGAGUUCUCUGUGGGCAGCGGCUGGCGGCCCCCGCCUUCCAGAGUGUCAGAUGGAGGCGCGAGGGGGCCCGCAGGCCCUCGCGGGGGGACUCGAGAGUGUGCCUUGGGCAUCGUGGGGCCACGCAAGGAGUAAGGGAAAACUGGACUGCGCCGGGGCGUCUUAGAAAUCAGAGCUGGAAGUUUCAUCCACCAGGGUGAAUGGCAAGCUACAGAAUAGAUAACAGCAGAAAGCAAAGCAACUGGCUUGACAGUGUUAAGUUGCUGGUGUUGGAUUUUCUUGGAGUUAAUGUUUCUCCUUUUUUGUGUGUGUGGUUUAAGCCAGCAGCCACUGGGUCUCUCCCUCCCCAUGUAAUUUUUUAUUUUAAUUGAGAUGGAGUCUUACUCUGUUGCCCAGGCUAGAGUGCAGUAGCGCAAUCUCGGCUCACUGCAACCUCCGCCUCCCAAAUUCAAGCGAUUCUCCUGCCUCAGCCUCCCAAGUAGCUGGGAUUACAGGCGCGCGCCAUCACGCGCGGCUAAUUUUUUUGUAUUUUUAGUAGAGACAGGGGUUUCGCCAGUUGCCCAGGCUGGUCUCCACUCCUGAGGUGAUCAGCCCUUUUCGGCCUCCCAAAGUGCUGGGAUUACAGGCGUGAGCCACCGCGGCCCGGCCCCUCCCCAUGUAAUUUGAUUGCAUUCCAGAGAAGGCAUACUUUCUUCCUGGGCUGCUUAGGCACCCAGCAACCACUAAACCAACUUUCUGAGUCCCACGUCAUUUACAAACAAAACCUACAUCUUCAAAACAAAACAAAAAAAACAAAAGCUGGGGGACUGGGAAAGCAGAUGUUUUAAUUAGCUCUUUUUGGAGUUCCUCCUUCUCCCCACUCCUUCCUCUUCACAACAUCCCAUCUCCAUGCCUUGCCUGCCUUUGGAAAAAGGGGAAGAAGGAAUGUGAGGUACUUAUUAUUAAUAAGUAAAUUUCUGGAAAGAAAGAAAUUGCUCCUAGCUUGGGUGGCUAUUUAGUGAAGUUACUUGCCAUUGCAGAUUUUUUUUUUUCUUUUUUAGCAUUCUGUUCUCUGAGGUUUAGGGCUGUCUGGGUGUGUUGAUGAUUCAAAAGUAAUUACAGUAGGGGAAGUAGAACAAAGUUGCUGAAAGCAUUGAUGGUAAAAGCACCAAAAUUGGAUCAUCUUCCCAGACAGAUGGGUGAAAUGGCUUUCUGGUACAGCAAGGACAGGAUUGUGUGUAACAUCAAAAAGAAAUGUUAAUAUCAGCUUGGCAAGAAUGGCUGUUUAUUGCAGCUCUAUGUGAGAUCGUCACCCCAUUGCUGAGAGGUUGUGACCUUGGCUUUGGGAUUAGAUGGGGAAAAGCCAAGGAAACAAGACCCACACUGUAACUUCCCAACCUGAAAUGAGACCUGGUGGAGGCAGCCUCUUCCGGAGCUCUCAGUGACCCACACGCCUUUUGGAGGAAUCAGAGAUUUUUUUGUUUUCCAUGAAUCCUGAUGCCCCUUCCUCUCGAUGAUGCCUUGGAUUACCUUCUCACAUGCCGAACUGGACAGGUUCUGAUAGCUAAUCGCAAGGAUUCUUCUGAGAAACUGACCAUCCCUGAAAAUUACGAUGUGGCAAGUUUUCAGGAUGGCUAGCUCUUUUGUUAUCCGCUUAAGGGAGAAGUUCUGCCUUAUUCCCUCAAGAAGUUGUUCAGACACCCUUCACUGUAGAUGUAGUCAAGCCUUUAACUUGAAAAGCUUAGACAUGAAUCUUGCUGGAGCUUCCUUCCAUAGCUUGCUAUGCGGCGGGGCGGGAAGCCUGCAUGUUUAUAGCUGGCUCCUCCUCCUGCCCUGCUGGUGCCUCUCACCUUCCUUUGCCUACCCUGGGUCUUGGCCUCUUUGUGCUCUCACAGUGACUGCUGAGGCUCCCUCCUGCAUCUCCUUUGGAGUUUUUCCCCCAUCUUCGGGUAAGGGUUGGAGCCUGCGUGGUGACUUAAGCUUGUGUUUGCUCCUGCCCCCAAAAUCGCAGAGGAGUGCUGAUAAAUCAGCAACAAAGUUUGUAAAUGCCUAACAUCUGGGGCUGGGGGUUUGCAGUUGACUCGCAGAGCUUUCCACUGAGCAGCACUGGAAUUGCUGUGAAAAAUCCCUCGGAGGAUGGCAGAGGUGGGGGUGUUCCUUUGUCCUCUCUUCUCAACCGUAGAGGCCUUAAAGAAACUGGGUAGCAGAGAGGUGUCAUUUCAUCCUCUCCAUGGGACCUUCCAAAUCCCUUAUCAUGGAUUUUGUUAAAAUGGUAAAUACUAAAGAAGUCACAUUUCUAGCCAACGUGAAUUGAUGCUCCCAACCUAACUGUGGAGAAUUAAAGUGUUUGUAAAUAAGCAUGGGAAAGAAAGACAAUAUGUAAGUAUAUAUGGGAUUGUGUGUGUAUGUGUGUACAUAUCAAUACAUAGCUUCCCUUCCUCUUCUUCCAUUUUUUUUUUUUUUUUUUCUGCUAGCUUUUGGGUAAUUUGGGGUAUUGUCUUUUAUUCCCAUCAUGGUAAGUUUGGUUCUUAGAUUGGAUAAAGUGGGACCAGAGUCGGGGAUGGUGGUUAAAGUUUUCAUUGUUACAUCAAAGCAUUGUUUCUGGAGCAAAAGUGCUUCAGGCCUGGGUUCAGAUCCCUUCUUUUCCUGUUUGCAAUGAGACUUGAUAAAUCACUUUAGUAUUCUGAGUAACUUAUCUAUAAAAUAGUAAUAAUGAUAUCUAACCUUCUAUUAUACCUGGUACUUAGUAGGUGCUUGAUAAAUAUUAAUGUCCUCCUUUUUUACAUAGUGAGACUACUCUGUUCACCCUCCUCCAUUCCCCCAAGGACACAGUGUAAACAGCACGUAGUCUUGUGGGUUUUAUUUUUCAAGACAGGUGGCCGGGGGUCAGAGGGGACACUGACUGUGGGGGCUUGGGCCUUCUGGAAGGAUCAACCUCUGAGGCUUACAAACAGCCUUGCUGCACAGACCCCUUCUUUGUGUCAUGUGACUCGGGAUGUGAUUUGUUAUCUGCCUGGGCUUUGGGACUUUGGCCAUUCUGUCUGGUGCCUGGGCAUCUGAGGGUAGGAGAAGGCCAGGCAUGUGCCCCCUGUGAGUCUCUAAAGUCUAAACUUCUUUAGAGUUCUCAAAUAUGGAUAUAACGAAUAUUCAAGACAACUGUAUGCCACAUUCUCUCACUGUUUGCUUUGAGAGUUAAUGAAUUCAGAGAGAUUGAGGUUGCUUUUAGGUAAUUUUAAUAAGAGGGGGAAAAAGAAAAUGGGGUUUGAAGAGAAAUAGAUGUUCUUAAGCUAUUUGUUUGCUGCUGUGGUUUUGGGGUACAACAUUGAGAAAGUACAAAAGCAGCAUUGAUCUGCUUUUCAUCUUGUCUUAGUCUGGCCAGCUCUGGGAAGCAUGGAAUUAACUCGCUUGUCUUGGGGACGUGGGAUUGGGUGUGGCCCUGACAUACUUCCCUCACUCUUCUGAAAUGGAGGAGUAGUUCUGAACUGGGAUGCAGAUGAGCAUAUUAACAUGCAAAUCUUACAAAGAAACUACUAGAAAUUAAAGUGGAUAAGUCGACUUCUUAAAACUGGAAGCAUCUCUGGACCAGAGACCAAAUAGAAUGGAGUUUCUUUGUCUGGCAAAAUGCCCAGCCCUUCAGGUCUGAGUAUGCCUGCACCAGGAUCUGUUAUCACAGGGUACUCCAGUGAGCACCACAGCCUCCCUCUAGGCAAAAGUGUGUAUGCCCUGUUUUAUGUUAGCUAUUCUAGGAGUUAGCCUUGAACCUGAUCUCUGAGUGGAUCUGACAUUUCCAUUUCUCUCCUAGGUGCUCUAGUCCUCCCCCCACCCCCAUCCCCCCAAAUCAGACUUUGCUCUUACUCUCUUUUUAUUCUAUACCUUCUUUUAUUUCUUGCCACAGCUUUUUCCAUCCUCUUGAAUUUGCACUUUCCCACCUGCACUGUUCCCAGGGAACAAAUAUGGCCCCAAUCCCAGUGAGAGCCAAGCAGACUCAUGGAAAGGCUCAAAUUGCCUGCAGAAGGCUUCCUGGAUAGUAGAUCCCAGCUUUUCUGUUCCCGCAGCAGAAUAGAGCUAGGACCCCUCUUUCACAGGAACAGGGGCCUGCAGGUAGAGACAGCAGACCCAGUUUUUUGACUCAUGUCACAUAGAACUACCCCUAGAGAAGAAAACCUGAUCCUGGGCAUGAGUCCUCCAAGGCUUGCAGAAACACUGAGCCAGUCAGGUAUGGUGGGGAGAGGGGCCAAGGGGACUUUGGCUGAAUUGCCUUCUAGCCCUGGGUUAGUCAGAGACCCUGGCAACCUUUAGAUGUUGGCUCUCAGCCAGGGACACACAUCAGAGUCUCCUGUGACACUUGCUAAAAAUACAGACCCCCCACCUGGGAUCUACUGAAUCAGCGCAUGGGCAGGUGGGUCAGGCAUGCAUGUGUUCCAAAUGCUCCUUGUGGCUCUGACAGGUGCCCCUGGAGAAGAGCCAGGUAGGCACAGCAGCGGCCCCAACUGCCUGUUUUGCCCCGAGCAGGAAAAUUCCUCUUGGUGGUCCAGUUUUACUAUAUGUUAAAGAUCUGUGGCUCUUCAAGAGGAGUCCUAAAGUUUUCAGAGUAAAUGGACAGAGUAAUGAUCCAUCCUUGUUUGCCCAGUAAUGGUUACAGCCAAUAUUUAUAGGGUACUUGCCACAGGCAGGGUCCUAUUCCUAGCAUUUUAUAUCUAGUAUCUCACUUAGUUCUCCUGACAACUUUUCCUUUCCAAUAAGAGGAAUUAACCUCACUUUACAGAUAAGGAAAACUUUCACAGGGAGAGGGAAGGACUUUGCCCAAGGGUACAUGGCUAGUGUCAGCCAGACAUUUGCAUUGUCUGGCAUUUCACUUUUUAGAGUGCCUUUGAGUUCAUGCUUCAGGUGCAUGCUUCAGGUGAAGCCACCUUUUAAGGGACCAUGCAGGGAAACCUUUCCAGAUUGGCUUAUGAGGAAACUGAACCCCAGAGAAUUGUGCCCUAGCAAGACCACGGAACUGUUGAGAAGCUGAACUGGAGCAAGAGCUGGGUUUCCUGACUUCUAGAUCAGUGUUUCUCAAGUGGACUCACCUGUACGGCUUGGCGGGUCCUAGGUGAAGCUGAGGGGUGUGGGGGGAGCAGGAGAAUGUCCCUGGAGAUGGGUGCCUCCCUGGCAGACUACUUCCAUUCCUUCUGCAGAGGCCAGCCACAUGGAGGAGGAACUGGUUGGCCAGCCUCAAUGAGUGUGUAUGUGUGUGUGCGACUGAUUGGUUUUUUUGUGGAGUCCCGGAAAACAUCAUUUCCGGUUUGGCCCUGUUACUACCUCUGAAAUGAGGUAACCAUUGAAUGAGUUAAAAGAAAUCUGUAUGGUCCCUUUAAUGUGAACAUUUUGAGAUGGAGACUGAGGUAAGAGUAUGAAAGUACUCUGCACUUAAUGAGUAGCCGUUGACACUUACAAAGCUUUUGUUAGGACCAGGACACUCCCUGAGCCCCCUGGAAUUCUGACCCUGAGAAAUAGAUAGUCUUCCCAUUUUGCAGAUGAAGAAACUGAGGCCCAUGGCUGCACAUGGCAGAGCCUAGAUUCGAACUCAAGUCUGGGUGCCUUGUGUCACCACUGUAUUAUUCCCUAGUCAGAACAGAUACCCUUGCUUUCUCCUGUGUCCUCACUGCUUUCUGCAGCUCACGUUUGUAUCAACCGAAAGCAGGCCUACAUACCUGGAAGGGAAAGAAGCAGUGGAUUCUUCCUAGGCUUCAACUAUAUCUAAGCAUUCUAGGAGUCAAGGGCACAGCACCAAGACAGGAACUUGAAACACUCACUGAAAGGAUGUCUGUGUGUAGCCCCUCCCACAGGGGCUUAUUCUACACCUCCUUAGGGGGAAGGAGAGGUAACUCCAGGUGGGCAAGUGUGGUUACCAGUCCCUCACAAUGAUGCCUUUUCUCUGGCUGGUGCCACAUAGGGCAGAGUCUCCUGCUGAGGCAGGGGCAGGAUCCAGUCCUUUGAGUUUUCUUGGAUGGCAUCUCAGGCUUGUCCCUGCUGCCCUGUGGGCUAUUAGAUCACUUCCUGACAUCUCCCAAGAGCCCUCUGGAGUGGGGCUUGCAGAGCUGAGCCUGCAGCUGACUUGUCUAUGAGGAAAUGCCUCCUGUCUCUAGUCCAGGAUCUACUACUUCUGGAGGCCCAUCCCAACCCAGCACGUUUUUAAA